rnacentral:rRNA from 1 species
UACGUAGGGGGCGAGCGUUGUUCGGAAUUACUGGGCGUAAAGUGUGCGCAGGUGGCCGCGCAAGUCGAGUGUGAAAUCCCCGAGCUUAACUUGGGAAUUGCGCUCGAAACUACGUGGCUCGAGUGUGGCAGAGGAAGGUGGAAUUCCACGUGUAGCGGUGAAAUGCGUAGAGAUGUGGAGGAACACCGAUGGCGAAGGCAGCCUUCUGGGCCAACACUGACGCUCAUGCACGAAAGCGUGGGGAGCAAACAGG